CGGUGGACGGGUGAGUAACGCGUGGGUAACCUGCCUCAUACAGGGGGAUAACAGUUGGAAACGGCUGCUAAUACCGCAUAAGCGCACAGUACCGCAUGGUACGGUGUGAAAAACUCCGGUGGUAUGAGAUGGACCCGCGUCUGAUUAGGUAGUUGGUGGGGUAACGGCCUACCAAGCCGACGAUCAGUAGCCGACCUGAGAGGGUGACCGGCCACAUUGGGACUGAGACACGGCCCAAACUCCUACGGGAGGCAGCAUG
rnacentral:rRNA from 1 species